UACGGGGGGGGCAAGCGUUGUUCGGAAUUACUGGGCGUAAAGGGCGCGUAGGCGGUUCGCUAAGUUGGAUGUGAAAACUCUGGGCUCAACCCAGAGCCUGCAUCCAAAACUGGCGGGCUAGAGUUCUGGAGGGGGUAGCGGGAUUCCUGGUGUAGCGGUGAAAUGCGUAGAUAUCAGGAGGAACACCGGUGGCGAAGGCGGCUACCUGGACAGAAACUGACGCUGGAGGCGCGAAAGCUAGGGGAGCAAACAGG
rnacentral:rRNA from 1 species